UACGUAGGGUGCAAGCGUUGUCCGGAAUUAUUGGGCGUAAAGAGCUCGUAGGCGGUUUGUUGCGUCGGCUGUGAAAUCCCGAGGCUCAACCUCGGGUCUGCAGUCGAUACGAGCAAACUAGAGUGUUGCAGGGGAGACUGGAAUUCCUGGUGUAGCGGUGAAAUGCGCAGAUAUCAGGAGGAACACCGGUGGCGAAGGCGGCUCACUGGACCGGUACUGACGCUGAUGCGCGAAAGCGUGGGGGAGCAAACGGG
rnacentral:rRNA from 1 species